rnacentral:misc_RNA from 1 species
GAUGAAGAACGUAGCGAAAUGCGAUAAGUAAUGUGAAUUGCAGAAUUCAGUGAAUCAUCGAAUCUUUGAACGCACCUUGCGCCUUUUGGUAUUCCGAAAGGCACACCUGUUUGAGCGUCAUGAAUACCUCAAUCUCCAUCUUUUCUUCGGAUUGAUGGGUGACUUGGAUGUUGAGCCCUGCUGGUAUGCUAUAUCAGCUGGCUUUAAACUUAUUAGCCGGCUCUGUACUGGAUCGGUUUGACUCGACGUGAUAAUAUUAUCGUUGAGGAUGCAUGUCUCAUGCAGCCGGAAAGUAUCAAAGCAGCUUCUGGCUUGCCUUUAGUGCACUUUUACAUUUUAGACCUCAGAUCAGGUGGGACUACCCGCUGAACUUAAGCAUAUCAAUAAGCGGAGGA